UAAGUGACAAGCUGUCCCAGUUUUCCAAGGACUUUGAGGGUGCCUGGAAUAUGGGAUUUGCAUGCUAAAACUGGGAAAGUCCUGGGGAACCUGGGAAGGGUUGUCAUCCUACUUGAAU
rnacentral:miRNA from 1 species